UAGACCAUCCACCAACAUCUUUGCAUUCAUCUUUUAUUCGGCGUAGAGUGGCCACACGAUCAAGGGCACACCAUGUGCCACACUCUCUAAGGUUGAGUUCCAACCGCAAUGGGUUAGGAACCCUCCAGUCGAACCGUGACUCAGCACUUGAAUCUGUGGGGCCCACGUGGAGACCAUCAUGCCUUGCCCUUUGAUCCUCUCUAAGAACCCUUUGGGAAAGAAUGCAAGAGGGUCAUCAAUGUUUUGGUAAGUAAAGUAAUUGGCAUCUGCUGCUGUUAG